UUCCACAGCCAUAUCACCCUGCAGCACAAGACCGGUUACUCACUGAUGCUAAGCAGGGCUGAGCCUGGUCAGUACAUGGAUGGGAGACCACAUUGGAAAACUAGGUUGCUGUUGAAA
rnacentral:rRNA from 1 species